rnacentral:tRNA from 1 species
AUUUAUAUAGUUUAAGAAAAACAUUACACUUUCACUGUAAAAAUAAAGAUUACUUUUAUAAAUA